UUUAUGGAGAGUUUGAUCCUGGCUCAGGAUGAACGCUGGCGGCGUGCCUAAUACAUGCAAGUCGAGCGAACGGACGAGAAGCUUGCUUCUCUGAUGUUAGCGGCGGACGGGUGAGUAACACGUGGAUAACCUACCUAUAAGACUGGGAUAACUUCGGGAAACCGGAGCUAAUACCGGAUAAUAUUUUGAACCGCAUGGUUCGAAAGUGAAAGACGGUCUUGCUGUCACUUAUAGAUGGAUCCGCGCUGCAUUAGCUAGUUGGUAAGGUAACGGCUUACCAAGGCAACGAUGCAUAGCCGACCUGAGAGGGUGAUCGGCCACACUGGAACUGAGACACGGUCCAGACUCCUACGGGAGGCAGCAGUAGGGAAUCUUCCGCAAUGGGCGAAAGCCUGACGGAGCAACGCCGCGUGAGUGAUGAAGGUCUUCGGAUCGUAAAACUCUGUUAUUAGGGAAGAACAUAUGUGUAAGUAACUGUGCACAUCUUGACGGUACCUAAUCAGAAAGCCACGGCUAACUACGUGCCAGCAGCCGCGGUAAUACGUAGGUGGCAAGCGUUAUCCGGAAUUAUUGGGCGUAAAGCGCGCGUAGGCGGUUUUUUAAGU
rnacentral:rRNA from 1 species